GACGAACGCUGGCGGCGUGCUUAACACAUGCAAGUCGAACGGAAAGGCCCUGCUUUUGUGGGGUGCUCGAGUGGCGAACGGGUGAGUAACACGUGAGUAACCUGCCCUUGACUUUGGGAUAACUUCAGGAAACUGGGGCUAAUACCGGAUAGGAUCUCCUGCUGCAUGGUGGGGGUUGGAUAGUUUCGGCGGUUGGGGAUGGACUCGCGGCUUAUCAGCUUGUUGGUGGGGUAGUGGCUUACCAAGGCUUUGACGGGUAGCCGGCCUGAGAGGGUGACCGGCCACAUUGGGACUGAGAUACGGCCCAGACUCCUACGGGAGGCAGCAGUGGGGAAUAUUGCACAAUGGGCGGAAGCCUGAUGCAGCAACGCCGCGUGCGGGAUGACGGCCUUCGGGUUGUAAACCGCUUUCGCCUGUGACGAAGCGUGAGUGACGGUAAUGGGUAAAGAAGCACCGGCUAACUACGUG
rnacentral:rRNA from 1 species